GCCUGGGUGGUUCAGUUGGUUAAGCGUCUGACUUUGGCUCAGGUGAUCUCAGGGUUCGUGGGUUCAAGCCCCACCUCGGGCU